GGAAAUUGUGGAAGCCGUGCCCAAUGUUGAUGCGGAUAAGAAAGAGUGAUUUUCGUCAAGGGGCGAGCCAUUAUUCGUGGAGGUGUUAGUAGAUCACAAUAUUUGGCUGCCUGCAUUUAUAGAUGUUCGUCUUUAGAGUAAGAUACACCUUGUAUAAUUGAACUUAUUGAACAUCCAGUUUGUUGUAUUAAAUAAUGGACUUUGCUACAUGAACAUUGGGGACUACAUAAAGGUGUUUAUAAUGAACACCCGGCACCUCGACAUUGGCCGAGGUGCUUGCCACGUAAGGGUCCACAGGCACCUCGGCCAAUGAAGAGGCGCCAGUUGUCCAUUAUGGACACCCGAAUGUAGUUUCCAAUGUACAACAAGCAUAAUCCUUAAAUAAUAAUGUUGUUAUGUCGUUAUUUCUUGGGGGGAUUUUACAUAAUAUUGUCCUUCUGGAAAGAACAAAUUUAUGGUGGCAAUUUGCAACUAUUUGACAAAUUUAUGGUGGCAAUUUGCUACUAUUUGGCGUUUUUGGUUUUAAUAAUUUUUAUUAAGCUUGGACUUGCAAAUCUCGACUAAGGUUAAUUAAACUUGUUCUACUUUCAUACCUUAAUUAGCCGACCUAUACCCCAAACAGGAAAGAACCGGUCCUCAUGAUGCAGUGAGAACUAAGAAGACGAUCUUUGUCCACAAAUUUAAACCGGUUUAGUUGUAUCUCAGGUCUCUCUUUCUUGAUCAUGUCCAUUCUCAUCCAAUCAAAAGCAUAGCUUACAUGCUAUAAAUGAUACCCAUCCAGUGUUUAUGGCCUUGAUCAAGAUAUACAGCUUACACUAUAUUCAUCCAGCACAAAUCUCAUGGACAAAUGUCACAUUUUCUUCAUGAUAAUUGAGAAUGGAAUAAAUUUCCAGGUAAAUUUAUACAACAUUAUAGAAAGGAAGCUGCUACAUGUUAACUACUUAAUGAGUCCAUACAUGUCCAACAGCACAUCAUGUAGGAACCAAAUGAAUACUGAUUUACAAACAAAAGUAAACAAGAAAUGAAUACUUUCAAACAGAACUAGAUCCUGCACGAACUCUCAACAUUUCUGUUCUCUUGCUUCUCUCCAUAGCGUCGACAAGCCAAUUUACACUUUCUUUAAUCCCCAGCCUGCAGACAAAUUUCAACUUCUAAUAUCUUCAAGCUUCUACCCAAAAGAUGAAAAAAAAAAAAAAAAAAAAAAAAGGUCUAAAGCAUAAUGAAUUCCAGAUUAUUUUUAAGAUUCAAACUAUUUCAACAUCAGAAGUCAUAGGUCAUUAAAAAUACUCCACUAAUAAUCAGAAUCAAGAGGUUUUUUACUUACCCAUCAAUUGCUGAAACAGCUUGAAAUGUGUAAAGUCUCUCAUCCAAUUUUUUGAGGUCCAGAUACCGAGAAAGUUCUUCUGCGGAUGCAGCUUCUGCACGAUCCUGAAAAUAAAUAUGUAGUCAUCGAAGUGGAGCAAUGUCUUUCACUUUUGCACUCACAAUUUGUUAGGUUAGAUGCAAAUAUGAUGAUAAUUUUCACUUUUGCACUCACAAUUUGUUAGGUUAGAUGCAAAUAUGAUGAUAAUUUUCAAGUUUCUAUAGUUUUCCACUUUGCAAAGUGGUGCCAGAAACAGAGGUGGAUCUUCCAAGCUAAUGAGAGCAACUAUCGAAUAACAUGUGCUGGCUGCAGACACGGAUAUACCGAUGCAAAAUUUUCAAGUAGGAAGUAGAUGCUUGGAGACACGUUUAUGAAAAUAUUACAGUUAAAUAUAUUAUAUUUACAUUUUAUUUCUUUUUUUAUUUAAAUGGGGAAAAAAAACUUUUGCUCAGUUUCGAUUUUUAACCUUUUGAUCACGAGUGACUAUUUGUAGUACUUAAAAUCUCUAGUAAGACUGUAUUAAAUAAUUGCAAUAGUAGAUAUAAAUAGAUAAAACACGAACCUCAUACAAUUUUUUUCCUUUGCAUUCUGUUUAUUAUUUUAUACAAAUUAUUUAAUAAAAUAAAAUAUUUCCUACUUUUAUAUUCUAAAAUCAACAAAAUUGGGCUUGUCUUGUUGAGGAAAUGUGCCUCACUGCCAGAAAGUAAAAGAGCCUAAAAAUAUAGUACAAACAAUGUAGAAUGGUGGCUGUAUGUCAUUAAAGUAUCCAUGGUACAAACUGAAAAAAGUAGAACAGCCUACGUGGUGUAUCGAACAAUCCUCAAGUCUACAAGGAGUAUUGAUGUUUCAUACGCAUCGGUUCUGUUUCAUAGAAUGACACAAUUUGAUUGAUAAUAGAAACAUCAACUAGAAAGAUGCAAGAAGUCUAUCACAAUCAAUAUUGGGCAAUAGAAUCUAUGCUCUCUCACAAUGCACAUUGGAAAAACGCAAAAGGGGAAAAGUAAAGUAGAUUUUCCUUCACAAUUCAUUUGCUUUAGGUCAAUGCUAAGUUGCUAACUUAGUGGGUGACAGAAGGAACAGCUUACCUGUUUGUUUGCUAUUAUCAAAAGUGGGGCUCCUUGCAAAUCCUCAUGCUGAAGAACCUUCUCUGAACAUCAUAUUGAAAAUAAGGUCAGAAACAGGUCACAAAAUCAAUUAAAAAGACCACAAUUGUAACAUGAAUCAUCAUCAGUCAAGUCAACAUACACUUCUCCCUAGCAAUGCUUACCGAGUGCAGAUUUUGAAUCUUCAAAACGAGAAGGGCUAGCCGCAUCAACUACAUAAAUCACCGCAUGUGCCUCUUCAUAAUAUUUCUCCCAAAUUGAGCGAAGUCCAGGCUGAUGAAACAUAAUACUUUCCAUCAGUGGUAGAACUCUCAGGAUGAAGUAAACAUAAAUAAAGAGACAUGCUAAGAAGUUUGUCUAUGAAAUAACAGCUGAAUUCAGUACUUAAAAUCUAGUCAAAACUAAUACUUAGAAAAUUAAAUCUAGUUGUCAUCCGUCAAAAUUGAAACAUCAAGAAAGAAGAAAACCAGUAAUAAGUCUCAUCAUUCUGAAGGUAAAUUAAAAGCAGUUAAAAGAUUAUACCUCGUCAAGGGAAAAUCAAUCAAAUAACAAGAUAAGAACGCGUUUCGAACCUGACCUCCCAGGUCCCAGAACAUAAGUUUUGUGUUUGACAAUUCAACUCGACCAAUGUUGAGUCCUACAGUUGGAACAAUUCGAUCAGCAGGAAGCCCUUCCACAUUACAAUAUUGUGACUUCAAUUUCUCCAGUACUGUCUGCAAAUUUACAUUCCAAAUGAGUUUAAAACAAUUACAGAUAUUAGAGUUGACUACAAACAGGCAACAUGCAGAGCUUAUAUACUUUUACAAAAGACAAGAUGGCAUGUCUCUGUGGAUACGAAGCAAGAAUGUGGAGGGGUGAGGGGGUUUGACAUCAUAAUUCCAUAGAUUGUUCUAUAUUCAAGUAUCAACUCAUCCAUCGAUUGAUGUAGAUGAGAAUAACAAUCCUGGAAAACCUUGUGUUUGCAGAAAACGAAUAAUACUGGAGCAUGUUACCGUUUUUCCAGCCUUGUCGAUUCCGAGAAUGAGAACAUGAAACUCUGUCUUGCUGAAGGCAUACUUCCACAGUCCAUAAAAUAGAGAAAACAUUUCUCUCUUGUUUUAUUUACUCUGUUAUAACUUUUAUUAGGGUUGCUUAAUUUGACCGAUACUAACAUUGCUCAUUCUUUGACUCUAAGAUUUUCCUGUUAUUUAUUGUGUAUCAGAAGUGUUACUAAUUUGCAUAGAGACUUUAGAUGCAUUAUAUUUUAUUAGAAAAUUUUCAUUUGAGGUCCCUAAACUCUGAUAAAUGGUGCAAGUAUGUUCUCCACCAACUAAAUAGAGCACCUGGCCCCCAACUUUCAUAAAUGUGCCCCCAACUUUCAUAAAUGUGCACGUUUUUUGUCAGGUGGGACUCUGCUGUCACAUUUAGGUGAUCUUAUUCAUGUGUGAAGACUCCAACCGAGAUUUUUUCUCUAAUAAAAUAUUAUGUAUAGUCAGCCACACAAGUUUCUUUAAACAAAGGAGUAGUUGAUCGUCCAUGGCUAUACAUUUGAAUUCAAUAAUGGAGAAAAAUAUUCCAAAAAGGUGACUGGACUUUUGAGUAUUUACAAAUUAUAUAAUGCACCAUCACCUCCCAGUUCUUCUCGCUCAGGCUCAACCACUGAAACAAUGGCCCUGCAAUUAUGGGAGGCCCUCAAGGAAUCGAUAACAGCAUACACAGGUCUAUCUCCGUCCACUUUCUUUUCAGUUCUUUCUUUGGGGCUUACCCUUUACUACAUGGUCUCAAAUCUAUUUGGGUCCUCCGAUGAUGGGCCGGGGUCUUACCAAGAAAGGUCCAAAGAACCCGAAGAGAAGGUGCAGCCUCUCCCUCCUCCGGUUCAGCUUGGGGAUAUCGCUGAUGAGGAGUUGAAGCAGUAUGAUGGGUCUGAUAAAAGUAAACCUUUGCUCAUGGCUAUCAAGGGUCAGAUCUAUGAUGUUUCACAGAGCAGGUAUAUCUGGAUUUUAUCAAGAUCAUUUUCAGAUGUAUUGAGGUUAAAGUAACUGAAAUUUCAACACAUAAGAUCAUUUGUUGGGUUACAGGUUGUUUUAUGGACCAGGAGGACCUUAUGCUUUGUUUGCCGGAAAAGAUGCGAGUCGAGCUCUUGCAAAGAUGUCCUUUGAAAAAAAUGAUCUUAAUGGCGAUCUUACUGGCCUUGGUGCAUUUGAGCUCGAGGCCUUGCAAGAUUGGGAGUACAAGUUCAUGAGCAAAUACGUCAAGGUUGGAACUGUCAAGUCGAGCAUACAAGUGACUGAUGGUCCUGAAAUCGAUUCUGCUAAGCCGACAGAAGAUGCUCAGUCAGUAAGUUCUGUCCCGGAAAUUGUGGAAGCCGUGCCCAAUGUUGAUGCGGAUAAGAAAGAGUCCGGAAAUUGUGGAAGCCGUGCCCAAUGUUGAUGCGGAUAAGAAAGAGUGAUUUUCGUCAAGGGGCGAGCCAUUAUUCGUGGAGGUGUUAGUAGAUCACAAUAUUUGGCUGCCUGCAUUUAUAGAUGUUCGUCUUUAGAGUAAGAUACACCUUGUAUAAUUGAACUUAUUGAACAUCCAGUUUGUUGUAUUAAAUAAUGGACUUUGCUACAUGAACAUUGGGGACUACAUAAAGGUGUUUAUAAUGAACACCCGGCACCUCGACAUUGGCCGAGGUGCUUGCCACGUAAGGGUCCACAGGCACCUCGGCCAAUGAAGAGGCGCCAGUUGUCCAUUAUGGACACCCGAAUGUAGUUUCCAAUGUACAACAAGCAUAAUCCUUAAAUAAUAAUGUUGUUAUGUCGUUAUUUCUUGGGGGGAUUUUACAUAAUAUUGUCCUUCUGGAAAGAACAAAUUUAUGGUGGCAAUUUGCAACUAUUUGACAAAUUUAUGGUGGCAAUUUGCUACUAUUUGGCGUUU
rnacentral:lncRNA from 1 species